rnacentral:rRNA from 1 species
UUAAGCGACUAAGCGUACACGGUGGAUGCCCUGGCAGUCAGAGGCGAUGAAGGACGUGCUAAUCUGCGAUAAGCGUCGGUAAGGUGAUAUGAACCGUUAUAACCGGCGAUUUCCGAAUGGGGAAACCCAGUGUGUUUCGACACACUAUCAUUAACUGAAUCCAUAGGUUAAUGAGGCGAACCGGGGGAACUGAAACAUCUAAGUACCCCGAGGAAAAGAAAUCAACCGAGAUUCCCCCAGUAGCGGCGAGCGAACGGGGAGGAGCCCAGAGCCUGAAUCAGUGUGUGUGUUAGUGGAAGCGUCUGGAAAGGCGCGCGAUACAGGGUGACAGCCCCGUACACAAAAAUGCACAUAUUGUGAGCUCGAUGAGUAGGGCGGGACACGUGGUAUCCUGUCUGAAUAUGGGGGGACCAUCCUCCAAGGCUAAAUACUCCUGACUGACCGAUAGUGAACCAGUACCGUGAGGGAAAGGCGAAAAGAACCCCGGCGAGGGGAGUGAAAAAGAACCUGAAACCGUGUACGUACAAGCAGUGGGAGCCUCUUUUAUGGGGUGACUGCGUACCUUUUGUAUAAUGGGUCAGCGACUUAUAUUCUGUAGCAAGGUUAACCGAAUAGGGGAGCCGAAGGGAAACCGAGUCUUAACUGGGCGUUAAGUUGCAGGGUAUAGACCCGAAACCCGGUGAUCUAGCCAUGGGCAGGUUGAAGGUUGGGUAACACUAACUGGAGGACCGAACCGACUAAUGUUGAAAAAUUAGCGGAUGACUUGUGGCUGGGGGUGAAAGGCCAAUCAAACCGGGAGAUAGCUGGUUCUCCCCGAAAGCUAUUUAGGUAGCGCCUCGUGAAUUCAUCUCCGGGGGUAGAGCACUGUUUCGGCAAGGGGGUCAUCCCGACUUACCAACCCGAUGCAAACUGCGAAUACCGGAGAAUGUUAUCACGGGAGACACACGGCGGGUGCUAACGUCCGUCGUGAAGAGGGAAACAACCCAGACCGCCAGCUAAGGUCCCAAAGUCAUGGUUAAGUGGGAAACGAUGUGGGAAGGCCCAGACAGCCAGGAUGUUGGCUUAGAAGCAGCCAUCAUUUAAAGAAAGCGUAAUAGCUCACUGGUCGAGUCGGCCUGCGCGGAAGAUGUAACGGGGCUAAACCAUGCACCGAAGCUGCGGCAGCGACGCUGAUGCGUUGUUGGGUAGGGGAGCGUUCUGUAAGCCUGUGAAGGUGUGCUGUGAGGCAUGCUGGAGGUAUCAGAAGUGCGAAUGCUGACAUAAGUAACGAUAAAGCGGGUGAAAAGCCCGCUCGCCGGAAGACCAAGGGUUCCUGUCCAACGUUAAUCGGGGCAGGGUGAGUCGACCCCUAAGGCGAGGCCGAAAGGCGUAGUCGAUGGGAAACAGGUUAAUAUUCCUGUACUUGGUGUUACUGCGAAGGGGGGACGGAGAAGGCUAUGUUGGCCGGGCGACGGUUGUCCCGGUUUAAGCGUGUAGGCUGGUUUUCCAGGCAAAUCCGGAAAAUCAAGGCUGAGGCGUGAUGACGAGGCACUACGGUGCUGAAGCAACAAAUGCCCUGCUUCCAGGAAAAGCCUCUAAGCAUCAGGUAACAUCAAAUCGUACCCCAAACCGACACAGGUGGUCAGGUAGAGAAUACCAAGGCGCUUGAGAGAACUCGGGUGAAGGAACUAGGCAAAAUGGUGCCGUAACUUCGGGAGAAGGCACGCUGAUAUGUAGGUGAAGUCCCUCGCGGAUGGAGCUGAAAUCAGUCGAAGAUACCAGCUGGCUGCAACUGUUUAUUAAAAACACAGCACUGUGCAAACACGAAAGUGGACGUAUACGGUGUGACGCCUGCCCGGUGCCGGAAGGUUAAUUGAUGGGGUCAGCGCAAGCGAAGCUCUUGAUCGAAGCCCCGGUAAACGGCGGCCGUAACUAUAACGGUCCUAAGGUAGCGAAAUUCCUUGUCGGGUAAGUUCCGACCUGCACGAAUGGCGUAAUGAUGGCCAGGCUGUCUCCACCCGAGACUCAGUGAAAUUGAACUCGCUGUGAAGAUGCAGUGUACCCGCGGCAAGACGGAAAGACCCCGUGAACCUUUACUAUAGCUUGACACUGAACAUUGAGCCUUGAUGUGUAGGAUAGGUGGGAGGCUUAGAAGUGUGGACGCCAGUCUGCAUGGAGCCGACCUUGAAAUACCACCCUUUAAUGUUUGAUGUUCUAACGUUGACCCGUGAUCCGGGUUGCGGACAGUGUCUGGUGGGUAGUUUGACUGGGGCGGUCUCCUCCUAAAGAGUAACGGAGGAGCACGAAGGUUGGCUAAUCCUGGUCGGACAUCAGGAGGUUAGUGCAAUGGCAUAAGCCAGCUUGACUGCGAGCGUGACGGCGCGAGCAGGUGCGAAAGCAGGUCAUAGUGAUCCGGUGGUUCUGAAUGGAAGGGCCAUCGCUCAACGGAUAAAAGGUACUCCGGGGAUAACAGGCUGAUACCGCCCAAGAGUUCAUAUCGACGGCGGUGUUUGGCACCUCGAUGUCGGCUCAUCACAUCCUGGGGCUGAAGUAGGUCCCAAGGGUAUGGCUGUUCGCCAUUUAAAGUGGUACGCGAGCUGGGUUUAGAACGUCGUGAGACAGUUCGGUCCCUAUCUGCCGUGGGCGCUGGAGAACUGAGGGGGGCUGCUCCUAGUACGAGAGGACCGGAGUGGACGCAUCACUGGUGUUCGGGUUGUCAUGCCAAUGGCACUGCCCGGUAGCUAAAUGCGGAAGAGAUAAGUGCUGAAAGCAUCUAAGCACGAAACUUGCCCCGAGAUGAGUUCUCCCUGACCCUUUAAGGGUCCUGAAGGAACGUUGAAGACGACGACGUUGAUAGGCCGGGUGUGUAAGCGCAGCGAUGCGUUGAGCUAACCGGUACUAAUGAACCGUGAGGCUUAACCUU